rnacentral:lncRNA from 1 species
CACAAAAGGGCUUUGGAGCAUUGUCUGAACAGCACCCAGAGGGCUGCAGGACAUUUGCCCAAGGGCUGCAGGCACACGUGCCCUUCACAUCUCACAGCCUACACUACAGAAUGUGACCAGCAGUGCAUUUAUUUGUAUAGGAGAAUAGAAAAUAAGUAAAUAAAGGUAGUAUAGAAAGUAAUCUUACCACCUAAGGAGUUGCAGCUGGGUUAAUUAUCAAAGAUUAGGAGCAGGCUGACUUUAACAGGCCAUAGCUGCAGACAAUAAUAAGAAGAGUGCUAUAAGAGUGGGUUGGUUGGGGGAACUGGAGUCAGUUGGCUGCUGUGAGGACAAGGAAGAGUCAGUGCCUAGAGGAGCUGGCUGUGAGAAACAUCAAGGAGAUAUGAAACUCCAGCAAUAUGGAACCCUUGCAAUGUAAUGACAAUAGAACUCUUGUGCUAUAAUGGCAACGCAUUUGUGUUUUGUAUGUUACACUAGUUAUAUCUGUGUGCAGCCUGCAUAGUAGCGCAACAGAUUGAGCUCUGGUUUAUGUCCACUUUGUGAAGACUUUAACAUUCCUCUUUUGACCCUGACAUUUUAAGUCCUGCAGCUAGGAAGCCGAAGUAGAUUUUGCAAGUGUACUUACUUGACUUGCUGCUGUUCUUUCAGUGUCACUGUAACCAGAUACACAAACAUCAAGGCCCAGCCUUCAAGACCCUGUGGAGGUCCCCUAGGCCUCCUCCCUCUGCAAGAGAAGCCGGUGCCUGAAGCUCUGGACCUUCCUACUUGUCAUCCAAAGCGGGAUUUCCAGCCUUGUGAGGAGGGUGGGCAGCUCGUGUCCAGCACAGAGACCAUGUGGGCAGCUGCCAGUGAAAGUGAUCCCUGAAUUGCCUGCAGCUCCUGUCCUGCAGAACCAGCAGCCUCCAGGCUUCCCACACUCAUGUGCCAAUAGAUGCUUUCUUCAGAAGAAAAGAAUUUGGAGAAUGUUGAGGAAGAGGGGAAAAGUGCAGGAGAAACGGAGAGCUGGAUCCUCAUCUAACAGAGGACCUGCAUCUGCUUCUCUGUUGGAUGUAGCGGGUAGUACAAGAAAACCCCCAUAACGCUUUGUCUGUAGUGAAGCAAUGCACCAAAAGACCUGUUUUAAUGCUUCAAAUUCAGCACCCCUGUGAACUCCAAUCUCACACCUGCUCCGUGCGAGAUGGGUUAUGGAGAGUGGAGACAAGCGGGUGCAUCCAGCGGAGCCACUGCUUUGCUCCUCUCCCUGCCUGCAGGACAGGCUCUGGCUGCCUGUGAGCUGGUGUGGCUGCAGACUGGGGCUGUAAAACUGUGCUGUGUGACCUGAUGAUCUCCCUGGAGUUUCCUGGUGUUUCUGUUUUAUGGUCCUUUCACACCUUCCCAGCCUUCCCAGUGCUUGCACGACUGGAAUGCAGCACCAGACUCCAGGCCAAGACAGGUGAAAUGCUUGUAAAGUAACUGGGAAAUGAAAGAUUUUGCUCCCCUCCUCACCCAUUUUGGAUUUCCAUGGGAUUGCUAGCAUGACAGGGUUAUAGUUAUAUUUGAAGGAGCACAAGAUGUGAAUCACUGUGUGUAGGCUGGUAUUUCAAAUGUGACUGACAGUUGCUUUUCAACACUUGAAUAUCAAUAUGGUGCUGGUAGGUAUCUGUGAAUCUUUUCAACUGGCCACAGCAAUGCAGAGAAAGGCAGAUCUCACGUCCACGUUCUACUUGCUUUCUGGUAUCAGGCUCUAACUUCUGGAAUUUAGAACCACUUUUAGUCAUAAUGUCAUUUAAUCGUGUCUUUAUGCUUUCUUCCCCUUUUGUAAAUAAUUGACAUGAGAAAGGAAAAUACUAAAGAGGGUGGUGGUAGAAAAUGAACAGUGAAAAACAGUAAAUGCAAUGUCUGCCCCUUUCUCUACCUAUUUCUGAGUUUAGUUUAUUCAGAGCAUGUGAAGUAGCACAUUGUCUUUUCCAUGCAGGGAGAAACUGUGACUGAAGAUGAUAUAUGUUACCAGUACGAGUCUGAAUUUUUCAAUUUCUUUAAGAGUUAGCCUUGUAAUAAUGCCAGGUGUGAAUCUCAUCCAAGUAUUCAAUAUUUUGCCCU